GCGGCCCGCGCGCCCGUCGGGAGGACUCCUGCGCCGGCCGGGAUGAGCCUCCAGGCCAGGUAUCCAGGUAAGCCUCUCUCCAGGCGAGCCUCCCUCCAGGAGGAGAGGACUCCUCCAGGGGGAGGGGGCUCCUCCAGGAGAAGGGGACUCCUCCAGGAGGAGAGGACUCCUCCAGGAGGAAAGGACUCCUCCAGGAGGAGAAGGCCAGCAUCGCUCCAGGCCAGCAUUGAUCCAGGAUAGCAUACCUCUCUCCAGGUAGGCCUCCCUCCAGGUAGGCCUCCCUCCAGGUAGGCCUCCCUCCAGGUAGGCCUCCCUCCAGGUAGGCCUCCCUCCAGGCCUUUGUGCUUGCCUCCAGCGACUUCUAGAGGCGGCCGCAUCAGAACUAUCACACCGUUUCGUUCAUCAUGUCUUCAACGCUCACCUGUGCCCC